CUACUAUAGGUAUAAACUAUUUAUUUUUGCUGAUGCAUGCUAUGUACCUAAGUAUAUUUCCUUCAACGAUAAGUAUUGAUUAGUGAUACAUUUUAGUGUAAAAAUUCAGAAUAUUUUUUAGCUAUUUAACAUUAUUAUAUUGAGGAAACCGCAGGAGGUAGUUAAGUAUGCCAAGCAUUUAAAUUUAAAUUUAAAUCGCACAGUGUGUCUAGGCUACCUAUGGCCUAACAAGUGUCAACACGCUCAUUUGCAAUAACAAUAAUUUAAAGUGGUUUGUGAAAAGGCUUUUGAAACCAUGCAUACAUGCAUGCGUGCAUCCUACAGGUUUUGAACGUUGCAACGUUGUCCAAUAGAAGACAAGUUCUGAGAGCUUCUUUAAAGAGAAUACUGACGAGACCUGAAGUUUUGACACUCAAAAUACAAUCUGAAAUCGGACAAGAUCUAACGAGUAUCAAAAUACUAUAUCCGUCUUUCUCCGCCUUAUUUCUAAAGUCUGUUUUGCAAUGCAGGUCAACGUAAAUACAAAAUAUUAUAUAUUCUAAUUAACCUAUUAAGUAGUGCAUGCAUGAGUUAUUAAACUUCCCCUAUUUACACUGACCUGAAAAAUCAAGUGUCUUAAAUCCCUA